CAGCCUUCCCUUUGUUAUAUGGUACGUUGUGGUACAAUUUCAGAGAGAUCCAUACAAUUACACACAAGUUAUUGUCUGGAAACUAGAAAAAGCUUGUUUUGGCCCCGUUUUGGCCCAUAAUUCCUAAACCGUGGCUCCAAAUCCCAAAAAUGAAUUCAAACCUUCUACUUGUGGUUUUAAACAUUGCGGUAUAAUUUUAGAGCAAUUGAAAUACUUGUACACAAGUUAUUAUCCUGAAACUAGAAAAAUGCUUGUUUUGGGCCCCUAAUUCCUAAACGGUUGGGACCAUCAUCCCCAAAGUUGAUCCCAACCUUCCUUUUGUGGUAUUGAACCUUCUGAAAAAAUUCAUAAAGAUCUAUAAACUUAAACUAAAGUUAUUAUCCGGAAACCAAUGUGUCUUCGAAUGACGCAGACGACAUCAUACCAUUAUACGGUUCCAAGUUUUUUUUGGGGUCGUAUAAAAAAUUAAGCUUUAAAGAAGUUAGCUAACGCCGCCGCCGCCGCCGGAUCACUAUCCCUAUGUCGAGCUUUCUGCGACAAAAAACUGCGAAACUUCCUUAAUAUUAAUACAGGGGCAGCAAACCAACAACAUGUUGCCCGAUUCUUCUGAAAAUUUGGAGGCAGAUAUAAAUGAUGAACAUGUUUACUUAGUUUCAGAGAUAAAAGCC
rnacentral:lncRNA from 1 species